UUUUUUGCUCUGUUGCCCAGGCUGGAGUUGUGUUUCAUCCUAAGGUACCCCUUUUUAUGACAGAAAAAUACAGAAAGAAAAAUUUACAAAAUACAGAAAGAGCCCCCUCUGCUGGAGGAGAAAUCUCCACCCACUCCACCUCCAGCCCCGACUCCUCAGCCUCUGCCACCCGCUCCGCCGCCACAGCCAGCCCUGCCCUCACCACCCCCGCUGGUGGCCCCCACGUCCAGCUCACCACCGCCACCGCCGCCGCCACCUCCACCAGCUAUGCCCUCGCCUCCACUGCCACCCCCGCCAGCCGCUGCCCCACCGGCUGCCCCUCCAGAGGAGCCCGCCCUCCCAUCUCCCGAGGACCCUGAGCUGCCGGACACCUGGCCUCUGCACCUGGCCAAGAAGCAGGAGACGGCGGCAGUGUGUGGAGAGACUGACUAGAAGGCUGACGAGAGUGGCGGAGAGGGCAACUUCCGUGAGCGGGACGAGCUCGUCAUCCGCGCAGAGGACAUCCUUUCCCUCAAGGGUUGCUUUGAAGACUAACCAGCAACACAGUUUGACAAGCCAUCGUCAAACUGCCUGGGGCAACGUAACGUAACAAUGAGUAAUAUGGAUGAAGCACUUACUGUGAGCUGCCUUUUCUCCUUAAUCCUCAUUACAAAUCUAUGGCUACAGCAUUGGAUUAAAAGUCACACCCUGAAGCAUUAAGGCUGGAGCAUCUGUACCAAGUUUUAUAUCCUUGGUAUAAGCCCGAAGGAGGUGAGGAGCCAGUUACUUGGGCAUCAGUCCCAUCUGGCAAAGGACUGUGGGUAAUGGAAGCAUUUCUGCAGGGUGGCAGCAGGGUGUGUG